rnacentral:rRNA from 1 species
UGACAUGUGACUCGCCGGCUCCAGAGACGGAGCCUUCGGUUCGGCCGGAGUCAGCACAGGUGCUGCAUGGCYGUCGUCAGCUCGUGUCGUGAGAUGUUGGGUUAAGUCCCGCAACGAGCGCAACCCUCGUCUCCGGUUGCCAUCAGGUUAUGCUGGGCACUUUGGAGAAACUGCCGGUGACAAGCCGGAGGAAGGUGGGGAUGACGUCAAGUCCUCAUGGCCCUUACGGGCUGGGCUACACACGUGCUACAAUGGCGGUGACAGUGGGAUGCGAAGGGGCGACCCGGAGCCGAUCCCCAAAAACCGUCCCAGUUCGGAUUGCACUCUGCAACUCGAGUGCAUGAAGUUGGAAUCGCUAGUAAUCGCGGAUCAGCAUGCCGCGGUGAAUACGUUCCCGGSCCUUGUACACACCGCCCGUCACGCCAUGGGAGUUGGUUCUACCCGAAAACGGUGCGCUAACCGCAAGGAGGCAGCCGGUCACGGUAGGAUCAAUGACUGGGGCGAAGUCGUAACAAGGUAACCGU